AGAGUUUGAUUAUGGCUCAGGAUGAACGCUGGCGGCGUGCCUAACACAUGCAAGUCGAGCGGAGUAAGUUUCGGAUUAACUUAGCGGCGGAUGGGUGAGUAACACGUGGGUAACCUGCCCUGCACUGGGGGAUAACAGUUGGAAACGACUGUUAAUACCGCAUAUGCACACGGCGCCGCAUGGUGCCGGGUGGAAAGAUUUAUCGGUGCAGGAUGGGCCCGCGUCGGAUUAACUGGUUGGCAGGGUAACGGCCUACCAAGGUGAUGAUCCGUAGCCGGCCUGAGAGGGCGACCGGCCACAUUGGGACUGAGACACGGCCCAAACUCCUACGGGAGGCAGCAGUGGGGAAUAUUGCACAAUGGGCGCAAGCCUGAUGCAGCGACGCCGCGUGAAGGAUGACGUAUUUCGGUAUGUAAACUUCUAUCAGCGGGGAAGAAGAUGACGGUACCCGACUAAGAAGCCCCGGCUAACUACGUGCCAGCCGCCGC
rnacentral:rRNA from 1 species